UCCGGAAUUAUUGGGCGUAAAGAGCUCGUAGGCGGCUUGUCACGUCGAUUGUGAAAGCCCGAGGCUUAACCUCGGGUCUGCAGUCGAUACGGGCUAGCUAGAGUGUGGUAGGGGAGAUCGGAAUUCCUGGUGUAGCGGUGAAAUGCGCAGAUAUCAGGAGGAACACCGGUGGCGAAGGCGGAUCUCUGGGCCAUUACUGACGCUGAUGCGCGAAAGCCAGGGGAGCGAACGGG
rnacentral:rRNA from 1 species